CGAACGCUGGCGGCAGGCUUAACACAUGCAAGUCGAGCGCCCCGCAAGGGGAGCGGCAGACGGGUGAGUAACGCGUGGGAACGUACCUUUUGCUACGGAAUAACUCAGGGAAACUUGUGCUAAUACCGUAUGUGCCCUUCGGGGGAAAGAUUUAUCGGCAAAGGAUCGGCCCGCGUUGGAUUAGCUAGUUGGUGAGGUAAAGGCUCACCAAGGCGACGAUCCAUAGCUGGUCUGAGAGGAUGAUCAGCCACACUGGGACUGAGACACGGCCCAGACUCCUACGGGAGGCAGCAGUGGGGAAUAUUGGACAAUGGGCGCAAGCCUGAUCCAGCCAUGCCGCGUGAGUGAUGAAGGCCCUAGGGUUGUAAAGCUCUUUUCACCGGUGAAGAUAAUGACGGUAACCGGAGAAGAAGCCCCGCUA
rnacentral:rRNA from 2 species